ACAGAUCCCAUGGUCACGGUUUAAAUCCGGAAGAAUAAUUUCAUUUGCUAUGUGUAACAAUCGCGAAAACCUAAGAACUCGAAAACAUUUUCUGUCAAUUUCGAAACACCAAAACCAUAGGAAGAAUAACAAAUUCGUUAUAUUAUAAAGUUCUGUCCACACAGCCACCGUAUUAUUUCAAAAAUUCUCAUCUCAUCCAUACGCACAAAAGAAUAUCUUCAAAAGAACUAAACAUAUGAUAUUUUAAAUCUGUCGAGUGUAGUCGGUUCUCACACGGUAACGGCUUAUCGCGGCGACAAGAUCAAACGCUUCGUAUAGAUUCACAAACAGCUGUUGCAUCGCCAAAUCGCCAAUGCAACUAAAGUGCGUGAUGCUACAAGCGACCACACAAAUACCAAUGCUACGUGUCGCGUCAUUGCGACAAGAGCCGCCGUGUGAGAAACACUGAGCCAGUUUAUUUUAAAACAUUUAUUUUGUCUAUGGAAUCACAGAAUCGACAUCAACACUAUUAACAGUAACUGUCCCUUUUAAUUUGAAACACGAAAUGUUAUCUUUUAAAGUAUUUUUAAUUGUCGGGUUGCUAUUAUCCGGUGUACAAACAAGACCAAGCAUUGGAGCAGGAUACAACUCUGACACUAUGGAAUUUAAGUUUGUUUACAAUUUAAGACCAAGGAUACCUUUUGCAGAAAGAGGUUACCUGACCUCGUUAUUGGUAAACGGAUUUCUGCCGAAAUUGCAAAUCAAUAGAUGCCGGUCAGAGCCGAGUCGUCGCCACGCUGACUGCGACUGACACAUUGGAGUCAACUUUUUUUCGCAAAUUUGUAAGGGUUAACUUUGUAGCAUCGCGAUAGAUGACAGAUAUUAGCGACGGUUCUGUAAGGUAUUUUUCAUCAUACUUGCUCGUAAAUGGUAUGAUUGCAAGGAGGCUAACUAGGCUAUAAUGCCCCAAAUAAAACACUCCGGCCUAUUUUCUUCCCAUUACAGCCAUGGUCUAUAAGGGUUUUUUAAUUUGUAGCACGACAUACUUCCAGAUUUAAGUUGAAAUAAUUCAGCCACAUAUAUUUAAACACUUAUUAUUAAGAAUUUCUUAGGUUCGUAUUCCAGAACUCUACUCAAUUCUCAAGUCAGGAUUUGAGCAGACUUGAGUAUGAUUUCAAGCACUGGAAAUACAACCCUAAUGGCAAGGGCUUGAGUAUGAUUUUCACUGCAAUACUCAAGCCCUGACUUGAUUUUAAUUAUUGUUUGUAUAAAAAUUUUGCAUUUUUUUUACAAUCCAUCAUGACUGUACGCGUCUACGCUUUUUACAAGAUUUUAGUUCGAGUUGUAUUAUCUAAGGAAGAACAGCUAGCUGGCCAUCUGUUGAUAAAAAAACCCGUAAUUAGUAAAAUCCAUAAAUAAUUGUUGUGUUGUGAACCAUAUUUAGACAAGAAAUAAACGUUGUACAUAUUUCCUGGCAAAUGUGAUGAAAAACGUUGUACGUAUCACGGACGGUAAAAAACUACAAAACUCGAGUUGUUAAAGCCCUCAGCCUUCGGCUUCGGGUUUCUAAUAGUCCCUCGUUGGUAAUUUCUUAUUUACCGCCGUCCUUAACACACAAUACCUAAUAAUACUAUAACCGCGCAUUGCCUACUAGGUAUCUGCCUCGUGACAUAUAGAGGGAAUGGAAGACUGGCCAUGCAUGUAACCUAAUGAGCUGGAAACAGAUAUUACAUAAUAGUAAUCCUGGGAAUUAUGAAUUUGCCCGUGUGCUCCAUAAGUUGUACGGAGCGCACUCGGAGGAAUACCUUGAUGUUUGGAAAGUUUUAUCGUGAACAAAAGGCGUAUGGUGACAGAGAAAGAACGUAUAGAGCCGUUUCACUCUUUGCAUAAAUUCAAAAUGUUUUUUUAAACGACUUCAAAAAAGGAAGAGGUUCUGAAUUCGACUGUACAUCUUUUAGUGUGUGUUCGUUAUGCGAUUACACCGAUUUGUGAACCGAUUUUGAUGGUUCUUUUUUUGUUGGAAAAAAGGUGCUUCAGUAUUGAUCUCAUUCAAAUUUAAAGAACAUAUUCCACCUCUAAGGGUGGCAAACUAGGGGUAUCCGAUUUCAGUAAAACUUGGCAAAUAGAUGUGAUUCCACGAACUUAGAUUACUAACAAUUUAUAUCUCUGUUUGUUAUGGUGUUUAUUAUUCUUCGUUAUGAUCCGUCUCUGCGGCAAUUAGCAACGCGGUAAACUUGCACAAGCCAAGUACGCUUGGUGAACAGUCGAUAUUCUAAAAUACUUGAUCCCAUUCUAGCGUUAAUUAGAAUUAUUUAUCCCAUUGUUUACCGGCAAUUAUUGGGAAUUUUUAAUUUCCAUUUGUAACCACUGGCAACAACUGAGAUUUUUUUAACCCAUUUGUCACUAUUUGGCAACAAAUGGGGUUUUUUUUCCAAUUUGUCGCCAGAGGGAAUCACCACUAGCAUCAAAUAAGAUUUUUUAUCCCGUUUCCGUAUCCCGUUUUUUAUCGCCGAUCACGUGUCGCUACAAAGUCAACCUUAAAACUAAAUAAUAUAAAGUUCAUUUAUCAACAAAUAUGUAUACUGAUUUUCGAAAUCAAAGUUAGUAUUAUAAAUUUAGCUCUUUUGUCACGCUAAUUACCAUUGUAUAUAAUUUUAACUGUAUUUAUAUUAUUUUAAUACAUAUAGUUAUGUGUAUAAUUAGAAAUUAAAUAUUUAUUUUACGUGUGUGAUAUUUAUUUUGACAACAUUAUAUGUAUGUAA